CCAGGUGCACUCUUCUAUUUUAUGGUGGUUCCAGAGGACUUUCACCAUCGGGAUCUCCUUGUUCCUUAGCUUUCUGAUCUGGGUGUCAAUGAUCCGCACUGGUUGUUCUACAUACGUGAGAUCACCUAGGAUCUCCACAUCUGGUUCGCUGAGAACCUUAUUCGGAUCUGACACAAACUUCCUUAGCAUCGAAACAUGGAAGACUGGAUGGAUUCUUUCCAUAGACAUAGGCAAAUCAAGCUUAUACGACACCUUUCCGACCUUCUGCAAAAUCUCAAAAGGUCCAAUGUACCGCGGAGCCA
rnacentral:lncRNA from 1 species